GCACAAAAUAAUAAGGUGUCCCAUUUAUUUUUGGUGCAAAGUUCCUUCUCAGAGAAGGACUCCUCCUCUUCCAUGCCCACAUAUCCAAAGGUGUCAUCUGAUGUCGUACAAAAUAAUGGGAUGUGUGGAACAUGUAAGGAAUUUAAGAGAAGUAUGAAAGAAGGACUCUCCUUCUUCAAUGCCAAAAUUAAAUGGGGCAAAGAUUAUUUUUGUGC
rnacentral:lncRNA from 1 species